UCCCUGGUGGCCCAGUGGCCAAGAUUCUGCACUCCCAAUGCAGGGGACCUGGGUUCGCUUCCUGGUCAGGGAA
rnacentral:tRNA from 1 species